UACGUAGGGUGCGAGCGUUAAUCGGAAUUACUGGGCGUAAAGUGUGCGCAGGCGGCCGAGCAAGUCGAGUGUGAAAGCCCCGAGCUUAACUUGGGAACUGCGCUCGAAACUACUUGGCUAGAGUGUGGCAGAGGGAGGUGGAAUUCCACGUGUAGCGGUGAAAUGCGUAGAGAUGUGGAGGAACACCGAUGGCGAAGGCAGCCUCCUGGGCCAACACUGACGCUCAUGCCCGAAAGCGUGGGGAGCAAACAGG
rnacentral:rRNA from 1 species